rnacentral:ncRNA from 2 species
CAUUUACAUAGCGAUGGUAUCAGCCUUUAACAGCCACGAAUAGCUAAUAAUACCUACUUAUAA